rnacentral:lncRNA from 1 species
UUCAUUUGGUCUCUCUCUAGCACAAGUUGGUCCCUCUCCUUCUCGGCCUUCGCCCUAAGUACCUGAUGUAGAUUGGUGCAAAAAUGGUCUGUCAACUUCUUCUUCUCAAUCUCCUCUUUCAGAUCACUGAUAGCCAACCUAGCACUGCCAAGCUGAUUAAUAGCCUCCUCUUGUCAGCCACCAUUUUUGCAAAAUCAAGUUUGAAAAAUCUAAGCUCUUCCUCCAUCUUCCUCUUUUCUCCAAUUAUUUUGAAAUUUUCUUCACCCAGCUUCAGAUUUUCUCUGAUUUUGUCCUCGUUUUCUUUGUCAUGCAUGCUCCACAAUUGACCUAUGCAAAACUGCAUAGCAACUGAC